AUGCAAGUCGAGGGGCAGCAGGUCUGUAGCAAUACAGAUGCUGGCGACCGGCAAACGGGUGCGGAACACGUACAGAACCUUCCUUCGAGCGGGGAAUAGCCCAGAGAAAUUUGGAUUAAUACCCCAUAGUAUACUGAAGAGGCAUCUCUUUAGUAUUAAAGAUUUAUCACUUGAAGAUGGCUGUGCGGCUGAUUAGGUAGUUGGCGGGGUAAAGGCCCACCAAGCCUGCGAUCAGUAACUAGUGUGAGAGCACGACCAGUCACACGGGCACUGAGACACGGGCCCGACUCCUACGGGAGGCAGCAGUAAGGAAUAUUGGUCAAUGGACGAAAGUCUGAACCAGCCAUGCCGCGUGAAGGAUGAAGGUCCUCUGGAUUGUAAACUUCUUUUAUAUGGGACGAAAAAAGGGUUUUCUAACUCAACUGACGGUACCAUAUGAAUAAGCACCGGCUAACUCCGUGCCAGCAGCCGCGGUAAUACGGAGGGUGCAAGCGUUAUCCGGAUUCACUGGGUUUAAAGGGUGCGUAGGUGGGUUGGUAAGUCAGUGGUGAAAUCCCCGAGCUUAACUCGGGAACUGCCAUUGAUACUAUCAGUCUUGAAUACCGUGGAGGUCAGCAGAAUAUGUCAUGUA
rnacentral:rRNA from 1 species